AGGUUAAGUGAAUAAGGGCGCACGGUGGAUGCCUUGGCACUAGGAGCCGAUGAAGGACGGGACUAACACCGAUAUGCUUUGGGGAGCUGUAAGUAAGCUAUGAUCCAGAGAUUUCCGAAUGGGGGAACCCAGCAUCUUUUAUAGGAUGUUACGUCUGCGUGAAUACAUAGCGCAGUCGAGGUAGACGCAGAGAACUGAAACAUCUAAGUACCUGCAGGAAGAGAAAGAAAAUUCGAUUCCCUGAGUAGCGGCGAGCGAAACGGGAAAAGCCCAAACCAACAAGCUUGCUUGUUGGGGUUGUAGGACUCCGAUAUGGUAGUCUAUUCAGAUAGUCGAAAUACUUGGAAAAGUAUGUCAAAGAGGGUAAAAACCCCGUAGGCGAAAUUUGGAUAACACCUAGGAGGAUCCUGAGUACGGC
rnacentral:rRNA from 1 species